rnacentral:lncRNA from 1 species
GUCAACAAAUGUAUCAAGUUCUUUGUGUAAUGCCUCACUGACAUUUUCCAACUCACUCAGCUGGCUUUUAUUUUUUUAUUUUUUUUUUCAGAAUCCUGAUAAAAUGCAGUAAAGGAUUUAAGGUUAUCAUCUGUCUCUCUCUAACUUCUGACAUCUCUUUAUAACAAGAAAGAGUCACAGCCAACUGUAACAGGAGGGCAGCACAAUGAAUCCUGGUGCUGAAGACCCCGUUGAUCCCUCAGUUUUGCCCAGUUGUGCUUGAUGUCUCAUUGGUGAAAGCAACAGGGUGCAGCAUCAGAUGUCAGCCGAGGAAAGGGAGACAUGCUGUGCGGAAAUUAGAUGGUUUUUAAAGCACUCUGAUGAUGGAAAAGACACGCAAGUACAAGUGAUAUCACCUGACAACAUUUGCUUACUAUUAAGGGUAUAUUUAUCUCUUAAUUAAAUUAGAUAUG